rnacentral:rRNA from 1 species
CAGCAGCCGCGGUAAUACGAAGGGGGCUAGCGUUGCUCGGAAUGACUGGGCGUAAAGGGCGCGUAGGCGGUUUAUACAGUCAGAUGUGAAAUUCCUGGGCUCAACCUGGGGACUGCAUUUGAUACGUAUGGACUUGAGUGGAGAAGAGGGUCGUGGAAUUUCCAGUGUAGAGGUGAAAUUCGUAGAUAUUGGAAAGAACACCGGUGGCGAAGGCGGCGACCUGGUCUUUAACUGACGCUGAGGCGCGAAAGCGUGGGGAGCAAACAGGAUUAGAUACCCCUGUAGUCCCUGUCUCUUAUAC